UAAUUAAUUUGAGGGGGAAAAAUUAAUAAAUAAUAUUUUAAUAAAAAAAUUUUUAAAUUAUAUUUUAAUGGGGGUUAAAGUAUAUAUAUAGAAAAAAUUUUUAAAUUUAUAGUGAAAUAGUAUUGUAAAAGAAUUUUGAAAUAAGGGAAAAUAAUUCAAAAAAAAGUAAAUUUAAUUUAUUGUAUCUUGUGUAUCAGAGUUUAUUAAUAAAGUUUUUUAAAUAAAAAUUUCUCGAAUUUAAAAGAGUUAAUUAAUUAUAAAAGUUAAUGUUGCAUAAUUAUUUUUAAUAAUUAAUUAGAAAUGAAAUGUUAAUCGUUUUUAAAAAUAUCUAGUUUUUUUAGAAAAAAAUUUAAUUUUAAAUAUUAUAAUUUAAAAUUUUUAUUAAUAAAAAUUUUAAAAUUUAAUAUUAAAUAUUUUAAGGGAUAAGCUUUAAAAUAAAUUUUUAUAAUUAAUUUUUAAAUUAAUUAAAGUUUUAAAAUUUAAAUUGUUAAAUAAAUUAUAAUUUUUUAUAAAUAAUUUAAUUUUAAUUAAAAUUUAAUAAAAAAAAUUUAAAUUUAUAUAAAAAAAUAUAUUUUAAUUAAAUAAAAUUAAAUAUAAUGAUAAAAUUAGUAUAUAAUAUAAAAUAAAAAAAUUAAUUUAUGAAAAGUUAAUUAAAGGAAUUCGGCAAAAUUUAUAUUCACUUGUUUAUCAAAAACAUGUCUUUUUGAAAAUAAUUUAAAGUCUAAUCUGCCCACUGAUAAAUUAUUAAAGGGCUGCAGUAUUUUGACUGUACAAAGGUAGCAUAAUCAUUAGUCUCUUAAUUGGUGACUUGUAUGAAAGAUUGGAUGAGAUAUAAACUGUCUCUAAUUAAUUUAUAUAAUUUAAUUUUUUAGUUAAAAAGCUAAAAUAAAUUUAAAAGACGAGAAGACCCUAUAGAGUUUUAUAAUUUUAUAGGUUAUAAUUAUUAUAUAAAUUUUAAAAUUAUAAUUUAUGAAAUUAUUUUGUUGGGGUGAUAGAAAAAUUAAAUUAACUUUUUUUAAUAAUUAACAUUAAUUUAUGAAUAUAUGAUCCAUUUUUAGUGAUUAAAAGAAAAAAUUACCUUAGGGAUAACAGCGUAAUUUUUUUUUUUAGUUCAAAUAGGAAAAAAAGUUUGCGACCUCGAUGUUGGAUUAAGAUAAAAUUUAAAUGCAAAAGUUUAAAAUUUUGAUCUGUUCGAUCAUUAAAAUCUUACAUGAUCUGAGUUCAAACCGGUGUGAGCCAGGUUGGUUUCUAUCUUUAAAUAAGAAUGAUAUUUUAGUACGAAAGGAUCAAAUAUCAAAAAUAAUUUUAAUAAAAUGAAUAUUAAUAAAUAAUUAAUUUAACUAUUUUGGCAGAAAAAAUGUGAU
rnacentral:rRNA from 1 species